rnacentral:lncRNA from 1 species
GGAAACGGAUCCUCCUCCUUCGCCUUUAAAGAAAACCAGACGCUGCCCCUCUCUUUCCCUUCUCUAUUCUCAUGGCUGGGACGUGUGCUGUUGAUUUAAAGCCGUCUUUGGAUGAUAUUCCUAUUCAUUUCAGAGGGUGAUGAUUUUUUUCUUUCCUUAAUCUCUUAAAAUUAGGCAUUUCUUCAAGAUUUUGUUUACUAAUUGGUUGUAAAUACACUUAUAUUGAGAAAUGGUUUGGGACUACGAAAAUUCAUAUAAAUUUCAAUGUUUGUUUAUCAUCAAAUUUUAUGUCAUGAAUGUUUGUAUUAGUUGUUUGAUUUCUCUUAUUCCUCCCCGUCCCUAUAUCACAAUCACCAGUUCUGCUUUCUUGACCGGCGACUCAUUUUCCUCCGGCGAAACCUUGAUGCUAACAUCAGUAACAUGAACUGAAGGGAUAUGAUUACUUACAAAGUUACAAUUGCUAUUCAGUAGAGGAUUGAAGUGGGUGAUGUGAUAAUCUUAUGUUUAGUAAACUUUUACAUUUCAUUGAUUAUAUGACUUAUGUGACAAUAUUAUUCAGACUUUUUGAAUCAUAAUUGUUGAUUUAACUAAUUAAACAAAGAGUAUGUUGUUGGAAUUGCCAUUUCUUUUGAUG